UCUCUCGAGGCUUAGUGUUAAGCAAUGGUUCGUAAAGCCAGAAAUCCGAGUUCGAUUCCCGGCGAGAGCA
rnacentral:tRNA from 1 species